GACAGUUUCUCCUCUGCUAUGCCCCUCUGCCAUGCUGCCCUGCCUUGAAGCCAGCUGACUGUGGAUUGAAACCUUUACAAAUUGUCUCAAGCUCCCCAGCACCCCAGGGGAAGCGGCCACAGGACUAGGGAAGUGUCUGCCAAUGGCUGGAGACGCAGUGGAGAGCCGGGGCAGACUAGAAGCGACCUGUGUCCGAUCCGCACCCAGAUGCCACCAGAGGAGGGGAAGCCGGAGUAAUUUCUGUGGGGAGGCACUAAGAGGACAGCGGGGUCACCCUGCCAUCGCCGCACGUGAGCGAGAGACUCCGAACCACAUCUUUCAGAAGGCCUCCGGACAAGGAGGGCACGCUGAGACAGACGAUAGGAAAGCAGAAGAUGAUGAUGAUGAAGAACAAGAGGAGGAGGAGGAGGACGAGGAGGAAGGAAGGAAGGAAGGAAGGAAGGAAGGAAGGAAGGAAGGAAGGAAGGAAGGAAAGGAAGAGGAGGAGGAGGAGCAGAAAAAAAUUUAGGAGAAAAAAAAAAAACACAAACCAAGAAGCACGGAGUGAAAAGGCCAGUAGAUAAACAGAACAUUUUAAAACCUUGCCAGGAAAUGAAGUUGAAAAACUGGAAGAGCACUUUUGUCAAAUGACGGGUGAAACCUGGAAGUUAACCAGUGGUCACAAACUUGAGGGUGAUGAAGAUUUGGUGCUUGAAAAUGUGGGCCAGACAUCUUUUGAAACGUCAAACACAGAAGCCGCUAAGAGAUGAAAUUUGCCUAAUCCUUUAACCAAAGUUCUGCCACCUGCUGACCAGCCAUACUUACCUGAAGAACCUUCUGAAACAGCUAAAGUAGUUACUGUUGCUCUGCGAUGUCCAAAUGGGAGAAUCCUGCGGAGGUUUUUUUAAGUCUUGCACUUCACAGGUUUUAUUUGCCUGGAUGAUAAAAAUCGGGUACCACACAUCCCUAUACAGCCUUUUCACUUCCUUUCCCAGAAGACUUCUGAAAGUAGAGGGAGGCUGGCCACUGGCUGACAUAGGAAUAACUAUGGAUUAUCUGCUCAUGGUGGAAGAGAAAGAACAGAGCAACUAGUAAAGAAAUAAGAAUUACCUGCUCUACAUUAAAUCAGUUUACUGUGACCUAAUAGUUCAGUAACAGAUUCAUGUUAAAAUCAUGCUGUACCUUGACUGCACUUAAGACAGUAAACAUUUUAAAUUGAUACACAUAGGAAUAUAUUGAUGUAAAGGAUUGAAAAGGAUUCAUUUCUGCAUUUAAGUUUUGGGCUGUGCCAUCUUAUAAUGUACCAAAUAAGAAUGGGGUAACAAUUAUUUGCAAAUAUUUUCUCCCUCUCUGUGGCUUAUCCUUUCUUUUUCUCUUUCUUUCUUUCCUUCCUUCCUCCCCGCCCCCCUUCUUUCUUUCUUUUUUUUGUACCAAGGAUCAAACUUGGGACCUUGCUAGGCAGAGAAUGGAGUAACAAUGUACACAAGAAGGCACUAAAUUUAUACUUCUUAACUCCCAUCAUUUCUCACUAUGUUAAAAACAUUUUGCCUUCUGCCUCUUUAAUCCUUAACCACAUAGUGACUAUUUUACAGUUCAUUCAGACCUUUCAAAAUCAUGUAAGUAGGAGUCUUUAUUCUACAGUAUUUAAGUUCAAAAACUUAAGUUCUUUAAGGCUUUACUGUUCUUUUGAAAAGUAUGUAUUAUUGUUUACUUGACUGAUGUCUGCAAUGUGUAUAGUUUUACCUUGUAUUAAUUGCAACAUUUACAAAGUUCCAGGUGGAAAACUAUGAAAGCUUUAAAACAUUGGUGAAUUUAAAAAAGAAUAAACCAUUUUAAAGAAGCUUCCUUUGAUCCAAAUUUAUGGUAGCGCGUAAAAAAGUUUAGAACACUUAACUAGAUAAUCUUUUUCUAAUUCCAACAUUUCUGUUUAAAUCUUACUAGGAAGAAAAGGGGCAAAGGGGAAGAGGAAUAGGGAGGGGUAGGGGAAAGGAAAGAAGGGAAUAGAAUAUGAGAAAAUGAAAAAUGGAAACAAAGUCUUUGUAAAUAGG
ensembl:lncRNA